rnacentral:misc_RNA from 1 species
GAUGAAGAACGUAGCGAAAUGCGAUACUUGGUGUGAAUUGCAGAAUCCCGUGAACCAUCGAGUCUUUGAACGCAAGUUGCGCCCGAAGCCAUUAGGCCGAGGGCACGCCUGCCUGGGCGUCACACGUCGUUGCCCCCCCAUCUACUCCUUCGGGAUUGCGGGGGGCGGAUGAUGGCCUCCCGUGCGCCUCGUCGCGCGGUUGGCAUAAAUGCCAAGUCCUCGGCGACACACGCCACGAGAAUCGGUGGUUGCGAAACCUCGGUUGCCCGUCGUGUGCGGUCGUCGCGCAUCGAGGGCUCGAAAAAAUUGCCGGGCUCCGGCUCGGCUUUCAACGCGACCCCAAGUCAGGCGGGGUUACCCGCUGAAUUUAAGCAUAUCAAUAAGCGGAGGA